CGAAACCCUUCUCUUCUAACCUCCGAGGAUGUGCUUACUGGUUAAGACUCCCUAUUCUGUUAGUGUCAUAUCCUGAAAUAAGAAAGAGGCCGGACAAGUUGCAAAGCCGGAUGGCCUUUUGGUUCCCGGUACGUAGCCCCUUCCUCAACUCGAGUUGUCUGCUCGGGUACACAGUCUAGAACAUAUACCAAGAUUUUUAACCUAGAAUAACUCAGCCUCACUCCGGAUUCCUAGUAGGAACGCUUAUUUGCAUCAUGCAUUUGACUUAGGGGACCCAACACAGGGGUUGGGCCCGUCUAGGACAGGUGUACCCAAUUUAAUAGACCAUCCUGAUGCAUUUUAUAUGCCAUACGUUGCAUUUUUUAAGGGUGAAAGGGUCAUCUGGUGGACCAAUGAUAGAUGAGAGUAAAUGAAAAAUUAGGAAAAAAU
rnacentral:lncRNA from 1 species